CCCGAACUUUCAAGCAUGGCCCGAGGUAAAUACCUCGACCACUCUCAUCUCCAAAUAUCCUUUAAAGUGUGGUCGGGCCUCUCAUAGGUCGGACCUAAUAAUCGUGUCCUACUAAGGUCGGGUCCACAUGCCAAAAUAUUGUCCUCUUCUCGAGUCUCUUGCGAGUUUUAGUGCUCCUAUGACUCAACUGUUUAUCAUUAUCUAAAUACUAAACGUAUUACAAUUCAUGCCAAACCUAAAGUGGUAAUUGUGAUAUAACUCAAUCACUGUACAAGAUAAAGAUUACCGGUGGUUGAAUCCUGAUACAACUCAACCACUGACAUCUAUAAAUACAGGACUAAGCUCCAUUAUUCAGGUAUGUCUUUACAAUACAAUUACAGCACAUACUUUUACACAAUUUCCCUCUCUGACUUAAGCAUCGGAGGGGCGACGAGCACACACCUCGUUGCCUUUGUUUCAGGUACCGGAAGCCCUUGUUCGUGCUCUUACUCGAUCCUCGGGCUCGGUAUUCAAGCAACAAGUUCGUGAUAUGCCAGGUACGAUUUUUUGGCAUCAUCAUUGGCGCCGUCUGUGGGAAUUCGGUACAAUAACCAUGCUUUUACCACAUCAAAAAGCCACGGCAAAAGAGAUAUCUUCUGGACAGUCUUCUGCUUGAAAUUGGAAAAGACAUCAAUCAAGAGCGGAGUUAAUUUUCUCUCGACAAGAAGGGUGAUUUUUGCCCUCUUACGCUUCUGCCGCGCUUAUCGUCCGUACCACCAUCUUGUUUCCGCCCUUGCCACAAAGAAACUACCCUCUACACCGAUGGUAAAAACAUAAUCCAACAAAUUACCGAUCCAAAUAUCCACUUAGAGAGGCAGAAAUUGGCGGGAACAGCCUCAAUCUGUGCGCCCUAUACAAAUCGAUUUCACCACUUCUGGCCCUAAACAUGGCUGAAUAUUUUGGGAGGACAAACCAAGUUGGCACGCACGAUGAGGCAGCGGCGCCUUUUCCAAUUGAAGGGGUCCUACGUCAUUUUUCUGCCAAAUUGCCACUAUUUGAACAUCUAGCAUCCUCAUAUGAACUUAGCCAAUUGCCAACAACCAAAUGCACAGCACUAUCAUACGACUAAAGGUGUGGAACCAAUUUAGCCACGGAGGCCAAUUUAGGGCCCACGGUAAUCACCAACUAUUUCUGUUGCUUUUUCUCAAAGUGGUUUUGGUAGCCAUGGUUUUCUUUGAAUGGUGUCUGGUUUGGAGGGCUAUAUCACAUCUAGCAGCCUAAUAUGUCCUUCGAGGUGGCGUAUCUCCCUAAUCUCUUGGCCUUUCCCUUUCAGCACUAUGAGGACUCAUUGAUAGCCGGAUAUUUGUACUUUGCCAGCUUUAUUUUCUACACUAAUUCUCUCGAGACCGAUUGGUACAGGAACCUUCUCCUAUCCCUUUAUUUCGGCCAAUGAAUCCAUUAUUCACUUGGGCCCAUUCUACAAAGUCAAAAGUUUAAAGUGGAAAUGCUUUUGGGCUCCCCUUUGUAUAUUAUGCUGAAAUUGGGCUCAAGAUUUAUUUCCUUUGGUCACAUGACCCAUUAUGGUUUGAAAUGAUUGUUUGGACUCUUUGUAUUCUUGUUUUGGGCUGCUGCACUCUUGUAUUUUCCUUAAGCCUCAUAACUCUUCCAUUUAAUUCACUAUUUGGAGGUACACGGAAUUGGGCCUAUUAUUUUUUUUUUUUUUGGGCCAUUUUGCCCAGGAGGUUUUUGCCAACAAUCAGCUAUUUUAAAAAGGCAUUAUAAAUUUGAUGGCCUGGCCCCAACAAUUUCAGAAGAUGCUAUCCAAAAAUAGAAGUCCAUUUUGGAAAAUACAAUAGUGACUACACGGGCGAGACACGAAGAC
rnacentral:lncRNA from 1 species